GACGUAGGGCGCGAGCGUUGUCCGGAUUUAUUGGGCGUAAAGAGCUCGUAGGCGGUGUGUCGCGUCGGCCGUGAAAACCUGCAGCUUAACUGUGGGCUUGCGGUCGAUACGGGCAUCGCUGGAGUUCGGCAGGGGAGACUGGAAUUCCUGGUGUAGCGGUGAAAUGCGCAGAUAUCAGGAGGAACACCGGUGGCGAAGGCGGGUCUCUGGGCCGAUACUGACGCUGAGGAGCGAAAGCGUGGGGAGCGAACAGG
rnacentral:rRNA from 1 species